CCCUUAGAUGUCCUGGGCUGCACGCGCGCUACACCGAUGUGUCCAGUAAGCACCUAACCUCUUCCGAAAGGAACGGGUAACCUUUGCAAAGCACAUCGUGAUGGGGAUAGAUUAUUGCAAUUAUUAGUCUUGAACGAGGAAUUCCUAGUAAGCACAAGUCAUCAGCUUGUGUUGAUUACGUCCCUGCCCUUUGUACACACCGCCCGUCGCUCCUACCGAUUGAAUGUUCCGGUGAGCUCUUCGGACUGCGCGGUCUGCAGUUUCUGCGUUCCGUGCGGAAAGUUGCGCAAACCUUAACAUUUAGAGGAAGGAGAAGUCGUAACA
rnacentral:rRNA from 1 species